CUACGGGUCGCUGCAGUAAGGAAUAUUGCGCAAUGGAGGCAACUCUGACGCAGCCAUGCCGCGUGCAGGAAGAAGGCCUUAUGGGUCGUAAACUGCUUUUAUUUAGGAAUAACCCCCUGCUCGUGAGCAGGGCUGAAGGUACUAAAAGAAUAAGCACCGGCUAACUCCGUGCCAGCAGCCGCGGUAAUACGGAGGGUGCAAGCGUUAUCCGGAUUUAUUGGGUUUAAAGGGUGCGCAGGCGGGCUAUUAAGUCAGUGGUGAAAUCCCGGGGCUCAACUACGGAACUGCCAUUGAUACUGAUAGUCUUGAGUUUGGUUGAAGUGGGCGGAAUGUAGCAUGUAGCGGUGAAAUGCAUAGAUAUGCUACAGAACACCAAUCGCGAAGGCAGCUCACUAAGCCAAAACUGACGCUCAUGCACGAAAGCGUGGGGAGCAAACAGGAUUAGAUACCCGGGUAGUC
rnacentral:rRNA from 1 species